rnacentral:rRNA from 1 species
GACGAACGCUGGCGGCGUGCCUAAUACAUGCAAGUAGGACGCAGUUGCGAACGGUUGAGUAACGCGUAGGUCACUACCUAUUAGAGGGGGAUAACUAUUGGACACGAACGCUAAUCCCGCAUACUAGUAGAUGGACCUGCGUUGUAUUAGCUAGUAGGUAGGGUAAUGGCCUACCUGGGCAACGAUACAUAGCCGACCUGAGAGGGGGAUCGGCCAGACUGGGACCGAGACAAUGCCCAGACUGCGACGGGAGGUAGCAGUAGGGACACUUCGGCAAUGGGGGGAACCCGGGACGAGCAACUGCGCGGGAGUGAAGAAGGGGUUCGGAUCGUAAAGCUCUGUUGUUAAUGAAGCGGUACUUAACCAGAAAGGGACGGCUAACUACGUGCCAGCCGCCGCGGUAAUAC